rnacentral:lncRNA from 1 species
CAACGAUAAGGUUCUGGAAGAGCUGCCUUAUUACCCAAACUCACCCAUGACUGCUUUGUAUCGAUUUCCUGCAUUAUAUGGGAGAAGUUUCCACUGUUGGAGGAGGAAGCCUGGAUAUAUGUGCAUGGGUGGGAUUGCAAUGAAGACUUGGGGAAAAAGGAAGGUGUCUGUCCUGGCCAAGACACUCAAAUUCCUGUGGAUUCUAACCCAGAACAACUCAAGUGACCUCAGUUCACGAAGACAAAAGAAGAUUUUCGUUUGAUUGUGUCUGGGUGGGUGUUUCGUUCAAGCAAGAACUGAGCAAAAUAAAAGUUGUCUUUAUAAGUCCUCAGUCUAA